rnacentral:lncRNA from 1 species
AAACAAUUAAAAGUUAAGAGGUGUCAAUCAAAUGAAAAACUGUUGAGUUGUCUGUUUCAAAAUGGCCUAAAGUUGAGGGGGGUCUAUAAAGGAUUUUACCUCUCGUUUAUAUGCGAGUUGUGUGGUAUAAUUAAAUUGAUCUGUUAAAUGAUCACUGGUGGGUUUUGGAUUUUGAUGUUCGUCGGUUUGCGAAAUGGAAAUAUUAAAAGUAUUUCACCAUUAGAUAUGGUUGAACGUGUUAUGCGGGGUUAAUAUAUCACCUAGUGAGUUUAGCAAUGAUAUGUUUAGCCCUGUAGAAGCUUCAAUUUAUUAUUCCUUGUUUAGUUGCUUUUGGUGGAUGUAAGCUAGAUGGUUAUAGUGCUCCUAGGUGUGCUUAAUUCACUUAUUUAGUUUGUUAGCUAGUUGCUUAUUCCUAAGCUUGUCUUUAUACCUUUCGGACUAAUCCGCUGGUUGACGAUAAUUUGUCGUUGUUUUUUUAGUGGUAAGAUAAAAUGUUAUAUUCUUGAUGGACUCUUGAAUAAUUAUGGACGUCCAACAUUGUAUCAUCAUCGAAAACUUAUCAAUUGUCUAAUGUUUUGUAUAAAUUAACAUAAAUAUAUCUAGGGGUUUCAUAAUCCUAACACUUGCUCAUACUGCUAUUGUGAUUAUUUUGUUCAUAUUUGUAUCCAAAUGUUGUCACACACUGUUUGUCAUAAGAUGCUAGGUUAAACAAUCUUCUACAAUCUCCAUCAAUCAAAGAAUCAUCCAUGUACAUUGAAUUAAGAACCUUUGUCCAAUGCAAAAACGGAUUUAAUGACUAAUAGUUUUAGCCAUCUCAAACUUCAUACGGGGGGAUAUGUCAGUUUGUUGAUCUUUUAGCUAUCAUUUUAUUUUAAGAAUAUCUUUGUCGUGAUUAGAAUAGCCUUCUCAAACUAUUUUGCAUGUUAAGUAAAUUUAUGAUUUAUAAAUUAUACAGACAAUGAUUUUAGCCUUUUUAAAAAAAAAUUUAUGAAUUAUACAAACAAUGAUCCAAAAAAACAAACAUGAGCAAAAUGGACGGAUAUGCAUAGAGGCCAUUUAGUUGAACUUUUACAAGAACAUAAUAAAGAUAAAUGGAGAGGUCAAAAUGGAUGGACUAAAGAGGCAUGGCGUAGUAUACAUAAGGCAAUGAGUAUUAAAUUUUCCCAUUCCAAUUAUACAGUAAAAUAAGUGAAAGAUCAAGAGCAACAAUUGAAAAAGCAAUUUAAAGUUGUGAAAAGCUUAGUAGAGAUGAGUGGCUUUGGUUGGGACGGAGAUAAAAAAAUGGUUUCUGCUCCAUCAGAGGUUUGGGAACCGUUGAUUAAUGUGAGUAUCACAUAUUAAUAUUGAUUAUAUAUGUUUUUUUUUUUUUUCAUUUCUAGCAAUAAUUUUUUUUCUAUUUUUUGAAGAGUAACAAAGAACUUAGGAAAUUGCACAACUAGCCCUUUCCAUGGUAUGAAGCACUAUAUGAUAUUUAUGAAGGUAUGGUAUAUUUAAUUGAAAUUUUAUUUUUUUUCUUUUGUAGCAUUAAUAUUCAUAUGUAUUUUAUCUUUAUAUAUUGAAGGCACAUAUGCAGAAGGUAAACGUGCUCAUGGAUGUGAAUAUUAUAGUAAUUUCUCUAGAGGUUCAUCAUCGGCCUCCCAUAUCAAUCUGUCAUCACAACCGGAGUCUCCAUUAGCCACAAUUCCGGGUGUCGGAGUGGAUUUUUAUGAACAUGUUGAAGAGACUCAAGAGGUCGAUUUGUCAGCUCAAAUACCUUCGGCAAGUGACAUUACCCACCCAGUUCAAAUACCUCCACCCUCACAAUCACAAACACAAACUGAAGGAGAAGCCAAGACUACAUCAAGUAGUAGAAAAAGAAAACUAAAAAGAGAAAAUAUCGAUAAAAUAGGAGAUUACCUAAUUAUGAAGGAAAGGGGUAAUGAUAAAAUUGCUAAAGUCAUUAUUACCGAAGCAGAACUUCAAACAAAAGGUUAUCAUGAUGAUAAAUAUUCAGUUGAUAAAUGUAUGGAGGUGUUUUAUGCGUUACCUAAUUUAUGGACCGCAAACGAUGUGUUUAAAGCUUCAAGAGUGUUCCAAAGAAAGAAAAAAAAUCGUGAAACUUGGCUUUCAUUGAAGGAUGAAUAUAGGGCUUAUUGGAUAAGAAAGGCUUCGGAAGAGGGAAUUUAGAAUUAAAUCAUAAGGUUGUUGCUAGGUUUCUUUAGUUUACUUUUCUUUGUGUUAGGUUUCUUUUAUUUUGUUGCCAUGUUAAACCUUUUAGUUGACGUUUGUUGUUUUCUUAAACUUUUUACUCUAAAUAUUUAUUCGUAUGUUUAUUAAACUUCUGAUUGUCUAAAUAUUUGUUUGUACGUUUAUUAAACUUCUGACUUUGUUGGUAUAUUUCGUACAUAGGAAAAAAAAACAUUUAAUUCAAUUUAUAAGCAGAAAUAAUAUUCAUAUAUAAUAUUGGCAUACAACUUCAUGAUACAUGUUAAUGAAAAAUACAUAUAUGUCUAAUAUUCAGUAACAAUCAAGAAUUCCUCCUAGAUUGUUGUUUAUGUCACGCCCCGAGGUCCCUUUUAGUUUGAAACACAGCGGAAAAGCGUCUAAUUUUUUUUUUGAAAAUCUGAUCCCAGAGUAUGCCAGAUCCGCCACAAAUACAGAAAAUCCACUAUUCACACGGACAGAGUCUCCCCUGUAUUUGCACGGCAUCGCACAAUUACAACAAGUAAACAGGAUACAACCACAACUAAAUAAAUAUAGAGAUAACUAUACAUUCAUACAUUCACCAUUCACAUCAUAGAUUUACAUUCAAUGUCUAAACAUAAAUCCACAGAAAACCUUUUGAAAACUGUUCCCUACUCGAAAACUUUUAUCUUUUAAAAACGUUACCACGAGGGGUAGAAAAUUAUUUUCCCUUUUCACAAAAUCCACGAGUUCUAUAGUUCAUUCAAAACUACAUGAAUUCGAAUAACAUAAACCAACCGAACUAUGUAAUAUCAAAGCUAUUAAUAACAAAAGUAAGCAAGGUAGGAACUAAACCGACAAACUGGGUCGGAAGCUCUAGCGACCACUACGAACGUGUCUCACGUCUAGUCUCAACUCUCACCACCGGCGAUACCUGAAAAAUGGUGGGGGAGGUGAGAACAUGUAAAUAUGUCUCCCCUCCCAGUGGGUACCGCAAGUCGAUGAAGGCGAGGAGUACUCACCGGAUCAGAAAAAGGUAAACAACAAGAUGGUAGACAAAUACAGAUGCUGAUACGAAGAAACUACAGUAGCUAUAACAGAUAACUAAGCAAUAAAUAAAACUGCUACUGUAAGGAAUGCAAAGCUAAGCAUGCCUCAAGGUAACCAAAUCAAAGCUGUACCCAAUCUGGUGCCAGCUAUAUUGGUUGGCAGACUUCAAGCGCUGCCUGUCACUGAUCUGCACCGACCUGAUUCACCCGCCCCACAGGACGACCCAUCCGGAUAAGCACACCUCCGGUCGGUGGCCAAACUGACCCGGUGUCGUGAAUACCCCCAAGUGCUGUGACUAAGUCAUACUGAUAUGCUCAAUACAAAAACCGGCUGAAGCCGGUGCCUAGGCCGAAGCCAGAAACAAGGGCGUGCCAAACCUCGAUCAACCAGAUUGAAACACAUGACAAGAGAGUCGAUGUGUUGUCUGGACCCAAUGUCCACAAAGUCCAACCGACCAGCAAGGUCACUGAUACGAAGUACGAGAACCGACCAACCAGGUCAACAGAUACGGAAUGCAACAACCGACCAACCAGGUCAACAGAUACGGAAUGCAACAACCGACCAACCAGGUUAACAGAUACGGAAUGCAACAACCGACCAACCAGGUCAACAGAUAUGCAUAUAGAUAGAACUACUCUACUCCUACUCAGGAUACUAAGCAUCCAAACAGCGAGCAGAGUAUAAUGGAAUAACAUGGGUGUAAGGAUCAAUAUAUACUAUGCAAUAGUAACAACAGAAGAGUAAGGGUAAGAAACCAUCACCGAGCGUGCACUAUUGUACCGACGUCGGAUCGAAGUACCCACCUAUGAGGAUGUCGCGUAUGUCUCCUGACUGCGAAAGAAAGUCAACCGGACCUACGGAGGGUCCACCGGGUUAGUAUCUAACCCACAACUAAUAACCACAGUAUCCACAACCCUACAACAAUUCCACGGAGAUCGGUUUCCUAAUACCGAUUACCGUAACUCGCCGGAAGUCCCGAAAAUCGCAUCGGCACUCCGUCGGGACCCCCGAAAUGUCCCAGAACGCACUGACUCGUGCUACGAGUCACCCGCUGCCACAAAACUCAUCAAAUAAGAUGUCUUGACAGUAAACACAAAGAUACACAACCAAACAACUAUUGGUGGACAAUUGUUCAGAUCCGGGUUCCUGGAAGUGUCAAUUUCGACACCGGAACCCCCCCCCGUCGCUCACCCGUCAUUUCCGAAUCCUCGAAAUGACGCAAGUGAUCAGCCAACAAGGCUCAGCGGCUAAACAAUCCAUCAGGAAGGAUCGUCGGAAUAAUUCCGAACUGAAUCCACGUUCCGUCGGCGGAUUUCGCUGAGAAACGAGCCGGAAAACACUUUCUGAUUUCCGCAAAGGCUUGGGGCCUUGGACGAUCAGUCCAUAGGUUAUCCUCAGCCUAUACUUGCUGACAACAGCAGCCAGGGCAAAGCAAAAAGCAUAAAAGCCCUCCCGAUUGCAUGAAAUCGCGCUAUUUUAUGCGAUUUUCGGGCUUUUAUGAUCCGAUCGUGCAAUCCGAUAACCAUUCGGUCCAGCCGAGACACCCGUUGACAGAUCUCGACGUGUCGGAGGCCGUGCUCACCUUUCGGAGCACAGGCGGCCACUGUGGCGGGCGCAAGAGCGACACAAACCUCUGUGAAACAGUACGCACAGCGCCUUCGAUGCGUCUAACUUACUAACCAGGGCCUCUAAUACCCUAACGGAGGUGAGCACGAUGUUCAACACGAAACCAGGGUCAUCGUGCUCACUUCUCCAUUUAUCGGAGUGCUCUCGGAUCGCCGGAAAGGCGACCGGAACCCCAAACUACAGUGCUGGAACUUAAAGCACUAGCAUACCGGAGCAGUGGGAGCUAGGGUUGGUCUCCGGUGGCCGGACGGCGAGCGCUCCGGCCGGGAAUGGGAGCGGCAGGUCCGAGAGGUCCGGGGAGGGUGCUGGCCGGCGGCGGGCGGCAACUGGUGGCGCGGCGAUGGAGAUCCGACCCCUAGUUGCUCUCGGGUUGCACCGGUCCGCGACGGUAAGGCGGCAGCCGGAGGAGCUCCGGGCGGCGACGAUCUGUCGCCUGAGGCCGAGGGGAAGGUGGUGCUCCCCUCCAUGGGCGGCGGCGACGCGCGAAGGCCACAAGGGCUCGGCCUCAGCCCGCACCGAGUCUGGGCGGCUGUAGGAGCUCCGGGCGACAGCCGGCGGUGUGUGGGGACNCGCACCGAGUCUGGGCGGCUGUAGGAGCUCCGGGCGACAGCCGGCGGUGUGCGGGGACGGAGGGGGAAGCGCGCGGGAGGUUGCCGGAGUUGACUGGAGGGCGGUGCGGCCGAUGGGGAGGGGUGGCCGCCCCCGAAGCCUAAGGUUGAGCCCGCUCGGUCUGGGCUGACACAAGGUGGCCGCAAGGAGCAGGGAUAGCUCCGGCGGUGCUCGGGGGUAGUCGAGGCCGGCGGGGGAAGGCGCCAGAGCUGGAUCUCGGCCAGGGAAUGAUGGAGGUCGGGUUAGGAUAGGAUUUUGGGAUCCGCUACCACAAAGAGAUGGAGUGGUUAGCCGAGAGGGAGGGAGAAGGUAGUGCAUAAGGGUUUUCUAGCGGCUGGAGGCGCUUGCCGGCGGUCGAGGCACACGCACGGUAAGGGCAAGGCUGAGGGGAUGUCAUCUAGGGUUAGCUAGAGUUGUCUAGGUCGGCUAGGGUUAGCCUGGAGCAUAGCAACCAUAGCUACUUAUAUAUACCAAGUGGACAUUUUACGGAAAACCCCCCUCCAACCCUAUAUGUUUAUAGUUCAGCCCCUGCCAGUGUGUGCGACUUGCGCGUACGUCCCUCGACAUUCAAAAUAGCGCACAACAGUGCAUAAAAUAUAGGGUCUCUUCGCGAUUUAUCCAUUUUGCCAAUUUGACCCCUCAGCGGACUUUUCGCAAUUCCCGAAGAUCCGUCCGUCGGAUUUCCGAUCGGGUCACGCCAGCGCGUUCAGCACGACUGGGACAUCAAAUCUAGUAGUUCAUUUCAUCCGAUUUGGUCUCCGAUUUGCGACAAAACCAACCCUCUUUGUUUCCACCAUAUAAUCACUUAUUUUAAUAUAUGUGAAACCGAUCAAACCCCUUUUUCUCGACAACCGUGCAUCAGAACCCAAUUCCGUCAGUGUCAUUGGGUCCAGAAUAGUCAAGCCAUUGAAAACGAGCAAUUGGAGUCCUAUGUUCGAAGUCCAAUAUGCACUAGAACCCCUCUCUACUCACUGGCUCAUCCAAAAAGCCGGAGUUACUAUUCACUUUAAGUCAUCGGUCUUGGUAGCGUAACUUCUCCGUUCUAACUCAUUUUCUCCUGAAGCUUGAUGAGUGCUUAUGUAAUUAAAUUACACACAGAAACAUCGUCAACAGAGAGUUUAGCUGCACUGCCAAAAUCUCAGUCCUUACAGUCUAGUUAUAUAAUCGGUCCAUAUUUUUUUUGCAAUUUCUUCACACUUAAAAUUGCCUACUCUGCGUUGAUUAUUCAUAGAGUCAAUAUCCUCAGCAUAUUCCUCAUCCCCAUCUGGCACAUCGAUAAUUUCAUGACUUCUGAUUUCUGAAAUGCCAUCAUUCAACCAAUCUUCCGUCCCAUUAUGAUUUCGAAUAAAAUUAUGCAAUACACAACAAGCCAUCACACUGUUAGUUUGAUUAUCGAUAGAAUGAUAUGUAGCUAUCUUUAAAAUUGGAAAACGCAUUUUUACAACUCCAAUAAUACGUUCGACAUGAUUUCUGAGUUGUAAAUGACGAAGAUUGAAUAAUUCUUUAUAAUCCUUUGGCUUCUUAUUAGCUGCACCUUGCUCUCUUAAAUGAUAUCGUAUACCGCGAUAUGGAGCAAUAAAACAUGGUGUAUUAGCAUAACCUGCAUCAACUAAAUAAUAUUUUCUACGUAGAACUAUAAAACCAUUGUUUAAGGCGUCUUAUAAUAUCCUCGCAUCUGAUGCUGAACCCUCCCAACCAGCUCUUACAUAAACAAAACGAAGAUUAAAAUCACAGGCAACUAUGACAUUUUGAGAUAAUGUUUGUUUUCGAUUACGAUAUGGUUCUUGCGAGCUCGUGGCAAUUGAUAUAGGAAUGUGAGUUCCAUCAAUAGCCCCAAUACAAUCCUACAUUUGACAAAAAAGUUAAUUUAGUCAAUUGGAAUAUUACAAAUUAAUUUAUUGAUGAAUUGCAGUGGUAGUUGAAUUACAUGAAACCAAGUAAGCAAUUCACCUUACCUCAAAAUAAGGAUAAAACUUGUUGUUCUAUCGGAUAUUCGAUGGAGUGAUUGCCAAUGGUGGUUGAAUUAAAUCAUCAGUGAGUUUAGUAACUGCUUCUAACACCGCUCGAAAAUGACGGCUUACUGUUUCACCACUAUGUUGGAAACACUUUUGUACGGUACAAUUACUUGCAUUUUUAGACAAGAUAAAUAAAAACAUGGCUACCUGCUCCUGCACGCUGACAUAUUUCGUAUAUGAAAUAAGUCUUUUAUCCUUCAAGCAUUUGACCAGCGCUUUGAAAACAUGCAUCUCCAUUCAAAACUCUCUUUUGCAUCGUUCAUUAUUGCCUUCAAGAACUUCUUGAACAUACAUUGCGCCAGUAAGAAUAGAUGUGUGAAUACGUCUCUUCUCUGAUAUUUCAUCACUGUUUGUUAUUGGAUGAACGAAAUUCAUGAAGUCAAUUUCCUCUUCUUCCCUUCUCUUCAAAAGAAGAACUGCGAGAUUAUUAUUAUCCAUAGUUUGUAGGUUUAGAAAUAUAAAUAAGAGAAUGUAAUAAUUUUUAGGUAUGUGAUUGUAAUAACUUGGUUUCUUUAAAUAGACUUUGGAUGGCAUGAAAAGCAUAAUAUUUCUCUCCAACGGCUAAUUUUUUUUAUUUUUGAGCUCUCCAACGGCUAGUUUUUUUUAUUUUCGAGCUCUCUAAUGGCUAGUAAUUAGGUUUUUUAAUUCUCCAACCGCUAGUGUUGGAGAUAAAACUUUCCAACGCCUAGUUUUUCAAAUUUUAAUUUUAAAAUUUUAAAUUUUAAAAUAAUUUAAUAGUUAAUAAUUUAAAUUUAAAUUUUUAAGUUUUAUUUUAUAUUUUUAUAUUUUAAAGUUAUUUAAUAGCUAAUAAUUUAAGUUUAAACUCCCUAAAGGCUAAUUUUUAAAGAUUAUCAGAAAUCCUGUAGAAUUGUAUAAUGUAUAUCCAAACAGUUUUUUAAAUAAACCCGUGAAAUUUUUUAGGAGUUAUAGAAUUCUCUAUUUAAUUUGGACCAAAACUACGGUAUUUAAACUCCAUGGAAUAUUUUUACUGCUCAUUCAAACAUGGCCUAAAACAAAAACAUUCAACUAAUGGGGGUGAGAACUAUUAAACAAUAGUUCCCAGUGGGUAAGCCGCCGAGAGUGGCGAAAUACACCAUUAGGUCAACUGAGGCAUGGAUAUGAUACGAGAAGUAUAUAUAAUGUACAUGCAACAAUUAAUAGAACAGCUCAUCUAU